AAUAAACACUUCAACAUUGCUGAGAUUAAGGACACUCCCUUUUGUCCACAGAGUCUUCAAAACAAAUACCUGGGUAAUGAUGAUGCCUGCAGAAACUUUCAUGCCGAAUGUCCGAGGCAUAGCAACAAAUGCAUAGUAACAACGUACACAAGGAGGACGCUCCAGCCAGAGGCGACGGCGGCAAGGAAAAACAUCCUGAGACGAUAUGAGGAAGGAACCUUGAGAGGAACCAGACUGGAAAGGGAACCCGUCCUCAUCUGGGUGACGACGGAUAGUAAGGCUCUACUAGCAGAAAUGCCUUGUUGAUGCGAGAGCUCAGAGGAGAAUGGUCAGACUGAUUCGAGCGCACUCUUUACAACUAUGACCAGGACCCUUUAGCCCCUCCUCCCUUUUGCUUCCAUAUCACCUGACUGUGUUUCAGCUUCAUGAUGCCUCUGUGACUCAUGCGUGAUGGCUGGAAACAAACUCAGCUAGUGGAACAAGUCGGCCCCAGUCAGAGACGCUGGGACUUUCCAGUCGAGCCAAGCUUUCGUUCAUUUGGACUGACCCGUGCAAAUAUUUCUCUGUGCAUAAAAAACAAAAAGAUCAAACCCAUACUGCACUCUUUCAUGAUUUUUGUGUUGCAUUAUUGAACUCAGACAUAUGCGUUAAUGAACUGUAAGAUGUAUAAUUACAUAUAUAUAAUGUAUAAACAUAUCAUGUAUAAUUAUUAUAUUUGAGUUUUUAAAUGAUUUUUAAUUUUUUUUUUUUUUCGAAAUUCAUGUCAAAAGCAAAGAUACAUUAGCAGAACUAUAACCAAUCAAAUCUUCACAUCAUUAAAUGUAACUGUAAACAAAUUUUAAACA